UCUGCUCCCUGGGAACCCAACCGUCUCUUCAGUCGCUCCCGGUGCCUGUAGCCAACCUCAGCCUGGUGAUGGAUGACCCUCAAUCCUCGGUGUGACGUCUGGUCAGAGCGUCAGUAGCGCCUAACGCUGCAUCACAAUGCCCGUGUCCCUCACCUCCCUUCGUCUUGUCACAUCGGCACUUUAUCAUCGCACAUUGUCGCAAGAAGGAAGGGAUCACACGGUCUCUGCUUGAACAUGCGCCGUGGCGGGAGCUGCAAGGAGCAUCAUUCCAGCAGCCUCAACGUGGGGAAGUUACUGAGCCCCACCCUGCCUUCCGCCUUCCCUCCUCCAACCAUCGUGCCCCCGGAGGCCAUAGUAGCUACUGCCUUUCCCACAACAGGCUGCCACUACCCCCCUUGUGACCUCAGUGUGUCCUUUCAACUGAUUAACUUCUUUCCAGCCGAACUUUUAACUCAGGCCAAAGACCAGGUGGGUGGAGUAGCCCCUGCAAUAAAGUUCCCUGCGUGAUUGACCCCAAGGUCAUGAUCGACCUGACUGACCUUCACCGCCCACCUGCAUGUACCCACCAACUUCUGUGCCACAUUCCCCUUACGUAAACUUGGAAGUGUUUUCAGCACAUGGGAGAUCAUCUUUGAGACGUGAGUCCACUGUCUUCAAUGCAUUGGCCUCACACCAAAAUGAAUUCCUUUCCCGUUUCUCCACCGCUCAUCCCUCUGUCUCUGGAUUUUGUCAGUGGCCAGUGGCAGAACCUGGUCUGUCUGGGACCCGUUCGAGUCAGGUGCCCUUGCACCUGUGGGCCCUGGCGACAUAUGAAU